rnacentral:rRNA from 1 species
UACGGGAGGCAGCAGUGGGGAAUAUUGCACAAUGGGCGCAAGCCUGAUGCAGCCAUGCCGCGUGUAUGAAGAAGGCCUUCGGGUUGUAAAGUACUUUCAGUCGUGAGGAAGGUGUUAAGGUUAAUAACCUUAGCAAUUGACGUUAGCGACAGAAGAAGCACCGGCUAACUCCGUGCCAGCAGCCGCGAUAAUACGGAGGGUGCGAGCGUUAAUCGGAAUUACUGGGCGUAAAGGGCACGCAGGCGGUUAAUUAAGUUGGAUGUGAAAUCCCCGGGCUUAACCUGGGAAUGGCAUUCAAGACUGGUUAGCUAGAGUCUUGUAGAGGGGGUAGAAUUCCAUGUGUAGCGGUGAAAUGCGUAGAGAUGUGGAGGAAUACCGGUGGCGAAGGCGGCCCCUGGGACAAAGACUGACGCUCAUGUGCGAAAGCGUGGGGAGCGAAACAGGAUUAGAUACC